UCACAAAGGGAUAGCUGAUGUUUAAAGCAAUAUGUGCUAUGGUAUGUUAAGUGCUAUGAAUAUGAGUCUAUGUUGGGUUAAUGAAGUAAGUUGUUAUAAAGAUAGCAGAUAUUUAUCUGAAUAUUGGUUAAUAUAGUAAACCAAGUUUCAAAAUUUAAUAUUUUGGAAUACAUGAUUAUUUGAGUAGAAAAUUUUGUGUUAUAUGUUGAACGUAUACGAUGAGGCUUAGAAUGUAAGGAAAUGAAGAAUAAUUUACGAUUAUGUCACCGAGACGAAAAACGAAAACCAGCCGCGGAAGAUCAACCAGAUAAUCGAACGUCGAACGCCAAAGACUUUAAGGCAAUCAUAUUGCUAGGGUAUAGAGGAUUAAGUGACUCA
rnacentral:lncRNA from 1 species